AAUUCUCUAUCUAUAAAUACACGUACACACACAUCUACACUCUCAUUCACUACCAAUAAUACACACAGUUGCAAAUAAACAUGAAGAGCACAGGAAAGAGCAGCUCAAAUCCCAAGGCAACCGGAAAAUCCGGUCACGAAGCCCGAAAAGAUCGCCAGUCCGGCACCGGAGUCACCGGAUCACCGAAGAAAGGCGGUCACGGCGGCAAGUUCACCUGGUCCGGCGAUAACGCAAACCUCGGGAACGAUGAGUUCAUCGCCGCCGUUGAUCGUAAUGACCCUAACUUUGAAGAUCCCGAUGUUGCUGUAGCGGAGAAUUAAUAGAUUAUUAUUCGAUAGAUGUAUGUAUGUAUAUGUUUGUUUUUCUGGUAUUAAGUUGUAUCGAUAUAUGGAUUUAUCUCUGUAUGAUGAAGUAUCGAUCAUUAUAAAAUUGUCGCGAUUUAAUUUUUCUCGUAACAUCGAUCCGGUUCGGAGUCCGAAAAUAUGUUUAUAAUAAUAUAAUGAAAGAUUGUGAUAAUAUGCAUAUCAGAAUACAAUGCAACAACGAAGUGUUGUGUGUGAAAUUAGAAUGAUACAAGAGCAUAUGUAUGUUUUCAACUGCAGGACACUAAACAAGAGGCGAAACUCGAUCAAAUCAAAAUUUAAAACUUGCUGAUUAUGUAACAAAGUGUUAUUAGAGACCGGAAGCACGGUGGAUGCUGCUUCGUUGAGUGGAUUGAGUUUACAUUUACAGGUUGCUGUGAGAAUAAGCUUAUGUGAAGAAAUCGUGGUUUAUUGGUUUUUGGUUGGCAUUUUCAUAUGUAAAAAUUAUCUGAGCUUCAAUGUAGAUUGAACUUUAGUGCUCUGUAGUUAGGUGGUGGCUCACCGCUCACCUUAAGAGUUAAAACUUUGCCUAGUUGUAUUGGCUCAAGGUAGUAAUUUAUUUGUUUGAAACUAUAUGGAAGUUAAUAAUAACAUAAGAUAGCACAUAGAGCAAUACCUGCUGACUGCUAGGUCUAUGCAUGUAUUAUCAUGUCCAGUUCUAUGAUUUUUGAAAACCUUGAAAGAAUAUGUCCCUGCAAAUGUUUAAUAUUCCAUGUUUUUUUCAUUAAUGUAAGUUUUUUUCGUAUAGUAAUGGUAGUGGCCUGUCAAAUAGUGGUCCACAAUCUUCUAUUGCCAUUAUUUCAAAUUUGGAUCAGUUAUUAUUUUGACACUGUUCACCCAAUUGCACACAACUCUCAGAAUUUGGCUUUGAUAAUAUAGGAGAUUAAGUUUUCAGCUUAUGUGCCCGCAAAGAAAGUAUUAAUAAAAGCUUUGAAAUAAUGAGUCUUGGAUUGUUUAUUUUGCAUAUAUUUUAUGCACUCAUGUAAGAACACCAUUUAGGACUAAUGAUACAUGUAUUACAGCUCUAGAGACUCUCCAGACUUCAUGUUGGACAGAACUCCAAGAUUCUUUUGUGUUCUCUUGCUUGGCUUUUUCUAUGGCAUCAGUGAUGCCAGGGAAGGAUACUGAUCCAUAAUCAUCAUGCUCUGAAGGCGCAUAAAUCUGAGACAGAAGACCUUUGCUUUUUAGUAUUUUGAUGAAUAUAUGAUUUAAAACUGAGACUAUUUGAAGAUCGAGUAUUGAGUAUCUGUUAUGAACCCAAAUUCAACAACAAACAUUUGUUAGGUUUUGUUACAGGAAAGAGACACAUACCAAGUGUUUAUACCAUUGUCGUCCAAGCAGUCCGUCUCUGUCCAUAAAUGCUCGUUCUGCCAUCAUCAGUCUGUCAUUUAACUCUCUCACUUGCCUUGGUUUAGUUCCCCACAUUGAUGCCCAUCCUUUGGAUCUUUUAAGUGCCUGAAAAUCAAGCCUUGUUUAUUUUCGUACAUGGCAAAAUACGUUAAGUGGUGUAUGUCAUGUACUUGGAUAUGCGGCUAUAUAGGAUGUAGGUAUACCUGGAGCUCAAAUGCAUAGGACAAAUAAUUGAAAGGUAAAAAUUCCUCAUCUGCAAGUGAAAGAGCUACUAAGCCCCAAAUGCUUGCCACUGUUCCAAAAUAACAUUUUAAGCACAAAUGUUAAUCUACAAGUAUGCUCAUGUGUUUAUAGGACUAGGAGUUCUAAUGGUGUAAUUUUAAGUGCAGAUAUGCUUCAUAUGGAAGACACAAAAACCUGCUACAUGUCUGCGAAACAUCGGGUCACCAAAAUCUCUCAUCCAAAUGAAGUCAUCAUACAUUGAGUGGUAGACUGGGUAACCUGCACUGCAACUGGUUAUAGUAAGUCAUAAAUUUAGCAAAAAUAAUGAUUCCUUUACUUUGAAUAGUAAGUGGUUAUAGAAAUGCCAACUAAAUCUUUUUUUAUGCAGAAUGGUGUUUUUCCUUGAUAAAAGUUCUGCAAUAUUAGCACACAAGUUUUGCACAACGGGGAUGCUAGAGGCAGGUCAGUUGUAUGUCGCAAGACAUUUUAGAGUUCGGACGUUUUGUCGCUAACCAUUUCAUCGGUUCAUUUUAGCUUCAAACUCCCAUUUUAUUACAACUUUAACAAUGCUUGUGAAUCGUGACUGGGUUUGGGUAAAUUAAUUCCUAUCUUUAAAUAUCUACCUUGUUAUAAUUUUUAUUUAGGCCUCAUUUUGCGGUAGAAGCCAGGAAGUUCUAAUUUCUUUUUUGUUAGAGCUAUAAACUUGAUCCUAUGUUCCUUUUUGCUAGUUCUUACUGUCAUAGAUCCUAAUGUUAAGUCUAUUAGAUUGAGGUGGAUCUACCUUCACAUUUCUAUUGCAUCCUAAUAUAUGACUAUCAACUAUCAAGUAAAAAUCAUAAAAAUCUUUAAGUCACAUAUAUGAAGUUAUUAACAUUACAGAUUAGGGUAUGAUCCGUAACCUUAGCAGAUAAAAGUGCAUGAAAUGAAGUGUUGCUACCUUCACCAAAAGACAUAUCAGCUGCUGGAAUACCUACAUGCUGUAAAAAUGGUGCAUAGUCUGAACCUGCACCUCCUAACCUUCCGAUCUUCGUAGAAACAUUAGUUUAGUUGAAAACUUGAACAACCUAUUUUCUUCUGAUCACAUAUAUGGGGUUCUUCCUUUCCUUUAAAAAUGUCAAAUACUUACCUUAGGAUGAUCACUAGUGCUUAUCCACGAGUCAAAGAUAGAUUGUGAUGAGUUUUCUGGAUCUCGAACCUCAAAAAGACAUUUUGAAAUUUUAGUUAUAAUUUGUAAGUAAAAAAUUGGAAGCACUGACAUUUUUAUGUUUCUAAAAUAAACUCUAGCACAGGCAUCAGGUUUAUUCAGCCGCCAAGCACUGCUCUGAUUGCAAUUACUCGAAAGUGGUACUGUAGGCGUAUAGCAUUUAUAACACUUCUGAGUAUAAUAUCAAUAAUUUUUUGUAUCGGUAAGCUUAAAAAUGUUGCCUUUGCUUUGAAACUGCAAUUUUUAUUUGCAAAUUAUUUCUUCUGGUUACAAACUUAUUUAGUACCUGUUUAGUAGCUUGCAUUAAUAAUUGAUCCAGCUGUGGAGUUGCUGCAGCUUGAAAUCCUGCUCCACUAACUGCAACGUCAACAUUCAGUGAGUGUUCCUUGAAAGUGAGAGGUAGAGAAAGAGACCAGGCCAUACUCCUCCGCAUCCCAAUUACAAAAGAUGAUUGUCCUUCUUGGUUUCCACCCCUUUUUCUGCAACUUGCUUAGCCUAUCGGCAACCUAAGUAGCACAUAUAAUCAAGUGAACGUAAGGGGUAGUACUUUCACUUGGAGACCUUGGUUUGACUAUACUAUUUUAAAGAGGAUGCAUGAAUGCAAGGUGACCUCAAGCAAAGCUGCUGUGCCACUGUUGGGAUCAGCAGCUCCAAAAGUCCAUGCGUCUCUAUGAUUACCCAGUAUUACAAACCUGCAAAUGGUUUCAGCCUAUAGUAGUUACAUUUCUACAAAGCAAGUUUCAAUGUUUGAUUGAAGUGUCUGUACAACUCAAACAAAUAUUACUGUCAGGGAAACCAUACCGAUCAGGUUCUUCCUCCCCUUCAAUUAUACCUAUAACAUUUUCUAUUGUAUUAAUGCCUUGUUUUCCCUGCAAAAUUAAAGAACAAAUACAUGGCAACAGUUCACUCUCGGCUGUUAUAUCCCCUGUCAAUUUCAUAGCCACAAUACAUAUAGAAUUAUGGUCCGUCAGUUACUUACAGUGUAACUGAGAUUUAAAAUGCCAGGCCCUGGUCCAAUGUUGUAAACUGGACCAUCUUUGCAUCCCUGCCAGUCACUGUCUGCCACUUCCCCACCAAUGGACUUUAUAAUUGCCUCACCGUCUACUGCUGAUACAGGCAGUGAAGGUAUCAAUGGAAUGUCUCCUCCCUUGUCCACCUCAUCAUCAGAGAUUCUCUCACAUCCUCCCGUGCUCGGCCACCCUGGUGUGGUUGGAUCUCCACAUCCCUUAUACAGUGUUCCUACCUGGACUCCACUUGGUGGCAUCCACUUAUCAUGAGGAAACCCUUUUCCAUCAUCUCCACCCCCAUAGUCCUUUUUAUCCGUGAACAACACAGCACCUAUAGCACCUGCUUGGUAUGCAUUUGCCACAAUGUCCCCUCUAUAUAUUUGUCCCAUCCUAGCCAAUACAACAGUACCCGACACAUUCAACCCUUUUGUUUUCAAAAUCAUAAAAUCUUCCACACGUCCAUAAUUAACAUAGACAACUGGUCCGACCACAGUACCUGAUCUUGCAUAUGCAUAGAACGUAGGUAGGACUUCAUCUGCCACGUCUAUGUAGGGGUCACCCUCGUACGUCUCUUGUCGAAGUUCAAAUAUAGUAGUUGUGUCCGAAGGUGGAUGAGUCAGUGCUAGUGACCUCGAGACAGGAUAAGUCAAUGAUACUCCAUAUGAUCUAAUAUGUGAUCGGAUAUCAUAGGAAGAUAGAGUAGACAGAACAUAGCGUGCAACCUCAGCAUUAGCUUCAGUGCCUGCAACAUGGGGUCUGCGAGUUAGCGAAUAGAGGUGUUGGGAGACUGAAACAUUGUCUGAAAAGGUACUUGCUAUAUACAGUGAGUGAUAGUUAGACUUUUGUGGGGAUGAGAUGAAGAAAUACGUUAGGGAGCUGGCUAUGGUAAUCAAGGUGGCCGCGAUUGAUGUAUACAUCGGAAGUUAAUCAGAAAAGUUCAGAGUCUUUUGAAUGCUUCUUUUAGGGUGUAUAUCUUUCCUGAUUAACAAAAAUUGUAAAGAGAUGACAGUACAGUAGUUGAAUUAUCAGCAAUGAGAUUUUGAAGCAAGUGCCUGAUGAUUCUAAAUUAGUAGUGAUAAUAUUUAUGUUGGAUUCUGGGUUUCUCCCAAAUAUAUAUUACAAUAUAAUUGAGGCA